GCAGUCGAGGGGCAGCACAUGAAGUAGCAAUACGGAUGGUGGCGGCCGGCGCACGGGUGAGUAACGCGUAUGCAACCUACCUACAACAGGGGGAUAACCCGUUGAAAGACGGACUAAUACCCCAUAAUACAGGGGUCCCGCAUGGGGAUAUUUGUUAAAGAUUAAUCGGUUGUAGAUGGGCAUGCGUUCCAUUAGCUGGUUGGUGGGGUAACGGCUCACCAAGGCAACGAUGGAUAGGGGAACUGAGAGGUUUAUCCCCCACACUGGUACUGAGACACGGACCAGACUCCUACGGGAGGCAGCAGUGAGGAAUAUUGGUCAAUGGACGCAAGUCUGAACCAGCCACGUCGCGUGAAGGAAGACGGCCCUACGGGUUGUAAACUUCUUUUGUAAGGGAAUAAAGUGAGUCACGUGUGACUUUUUGCAUGUACCUUACGAAUAAGGAUCGGCUAACUCCGUGCCAGCAGCCGCGGUAAUACGGAGGAUCCGAGCGUUAUCCGGAUUUAUUGGGUUUAAAGGGUGCGCAGGCGGGAGAUUAAGUCGGCGGUGAAAUUUUGCAGCUCAACUGUAAAAGUGCCAUCGAUACUGGUUUUCUUGAGUGUGGAUGAAGUAGGCGGAAUUUGUGGUGUAGCGGUGAAAUGCAUAGAUAUCACAAGGAACACCGAUUGCGCAGGCAGCUUACUGAACCAUAACUGACGCUCAGGCACGAAGGCGUGGGGAGCAAACAGGAUUAGAUACCCUGGUAGUCCACGCAGUAAACGAUGACUACUAGCUGUUUGC
rnacentral:rRNA from 1 species